AUAAGUGUCUGGUUUGGUGAUUGCUGUGCUCACGGCCCACCUUGCUCCUGCUAGGGACGCCACAUUAGCUGGGGCUGGGUUUGUAAGAAAUGGUUCCUGACCAGCUGUGCUUACGAGAGAGACAAGGUCCCCAUUUUCAGGGCCUGCUCAUUUCUCUGGCCAGGAGCGAUGUCUCCUGCGCAGCGGUAGGUUGCAUCUAGGAGGAUGACUCUAGGUGGUGAGUUGCUUGCCUCCCUCCCAUGUCUGUCUCUCUCUCUUCUCCAGUGUGUUGGCCAACUUUCUCACUGACUCUGCUCUCCUCUCCUUGUGCUGUCUCCCUUCGUAGGACACGGGCAGGCGUGCUAGGUGUGCAUCCCCACAGGCCAGAUCUCGGGAGUCGCGGACGAAAAUCAUGCGGGGCAGUGGGUGUGAGAGUGGAGCGGUGACUGUCGGUGUUAACUCGGUCUCUGUUCAUUGAGUGGGGCCGAUGUAGAUGGGAUUGGAGAGGGAGGCAGGGCUGAGGGCAAGAUUUCCAGCACCAAUAGAGCUCUGUGUAGUGAUGGUUCUUUCUUGGCUUUAUAAGUUUGCCAAGGAAUUGUCCAGGAGCCCCAGCCACACAAGAAUAUGGCAGAAGUGGACCUGAGCAUCCUGGACAUCCUUCUAAGGAGACAUGAAUAGUCCUCAUGUUUCUGCCUUCUGCAUCGCUGGCUGUGAGUAAGAGUACCGAGGGAAACGAAGUCACGCGUCAGAGUCUACUGCCCCCAUGCGAUGGAAAGCGAGCGAGAGCGUUGAGACUCUGAGCAUUGUUGAUGCCACGCAAAAGCCGUCCCUCUAGGAGCCGAGGAGACGCUGCUGUCAGUGAGAUAAGUGUCUGGUUUCAUGAGGGCUCUGCUCACGCCCAACCUGAGUCCAGAUAGGGAAGCCCACUAAGUUAGGGCUGGGUUUGUAUGAAAAGGUUGCUGACUAACUGUGGUUACGAGGGGGAAAAGGUCCCUAUUUUCAGAGGUUGCUCAUUUCUCUGGUCAGGAGCGGAGUCUCCUCCGCAACGGAAGGUUGGAUUCAGGAGGAUGACUCCAGGUGCUCAGUUGCUUACCUUCCUCCCAUUUUUUUUCUUUCUCUCUCUCUCUCUCUCUCUCUCUCCUCUUGUGUGUUGGCCAACUUUCUCACUCUCUUUCCUCUCCUGUCCUCGUGCCGUCUCCCUUCGUAGGACACGGGCAUGUGUGCUAGCUGUGCAUCCCCACAGGCCAGGUUUUGGGAGCCAUGGAGAAGUAGGAGGGGAUGAAAACCAUGCAGGGCUGUGUCUGUCGGUGUUAACUCGGUCUCUGUUCAUCGAGUGGGGCUGAUGUAGAUGGGAUUGGAGAGGGAGGCCAGGAUGAGGGCAAGAUUUGAAGCAACAAAUAGAGCUUUAAGUAAUGAUGGCUCAUGGUUGGCUUUUGCAGCUUCGCUUCCAGAGGAAUUUUCCAGGAGCCCUAUCCCGAGGAGAAAGUGGCACUAGUGGACAUGAGCAGAUGGGACAUCCUUGUAAGCAGACAUGAACAGUCCUCCGCUUUCUGACUCCCACAUAAUUGGCUGUGAGUAAGCGGACCGAGGGAACAGAAGUCACGCGUCAGAGUCUCAAGCCCUCAUGCGAUGGAAAGCGAGCCAGAGCGACGAGACCGCGAGCAUUGUUGAUUCCAGGCAAGAGUCAUCUAUCUGGGAUAUGAGCAGACGCCACUCUCAGUGAGAUAAGUGUCUGGUUUGGUG